GUUCCUAGCAGCUGGCAGCGGGUUGGAGUUGGUCAUCCUGACUGGAAAACUGUUCGUCUUCUGUCCAGAAAAGGGCAACUUAUUGUCCAAGGUGGCCUUAACAUCUCCCCCUGUCCUUGGCACCUCCAGCAGCUUCAGAGGCAGUUUUCUGUUUGGUUUUGUAGAUCGUAUUUUGAGAUAAUUUGCUUUCUCUGCUCGCAGCACAGAGAGUUUGAGUGCCUGAACACAUGUGGAACCCAGCACAGUGUGAUCAGGAGAGGGCCUGUCACAUGCUCUAAAUCCUUGUGCAAAUCUGAAGCAGAAUCUUCAUGCUGCAGUAAAUGGUUGCCCAGCCCAUGCUACCUUUCAAAUCCACAUGCAGGACACUGCUUAAAAUGCCAAAGAGCAUGGACAAGGCAGUUUCUCCCUGCUGAUCCUCCCAUGGGGCUUCCAGUAAGAGCUUUCUGCUGCACCUGGUCACUGAUCCGUGGCUACAGGAGCAUUGAUCCCUGGUUAAUCUUCACUCGGGACAAGGAUGGGCUAAUAAUAUAUCUUCCUGUGAGAACUGUGGUUUCAAAAAAUCAGCCGUUUCACUCCUGUGAUUUUGCAGUUGGUCUUCUGGCAGGGAUGUGUGGAAUAGAAACAGUGAAGUUGUAA
rnacentral:lncRNA from 1 species